GCAGCACGUGGUUCUUCGGGUGGCAACACAAAUCUGAACGGCGUUGUGAUGAUUGUAGGAUAGGAUAGAACGAACCCACAGCGAAAACCAGGCUUUUAAUUUCUUGAUUAAUUAAUUUUGAAAUAAAUAAUUGGUUUGGGUGAUAUCAUUAAUGCAAUUUGCCACACUUUCCCAGUGAGGAAAUGAAGGAAAAUCAGUUGUAGUAUUGAGAAGAAGAGCACAAUCAAUUAUCAUUCUGCCACCGACAAUGGUUUCUGCGGAGAAUGAUUCGCAUUCCACUUCCGAUCAAGCUACUCAUAAUCAUUCCUCCGUUUCCGACAAAGCUCACAGAAGCAUCGGCAAGUCCAUGCGAACCGUGCGCUCCAAAUUAUUCCGACGCGACCACGCCACGUGCGUCUCCGAUAGCCUAACCGAUUCGCUCAUGGAACUCGCCUCGCGAAACUCAAAGUCAGUUAAAUCUUCCGUUACGGAGGAGCAACUUCUCGAGCUCUCUCAAGCUUUGAGCGAUUUCUCUGCCUGCAGCAGCGAUAUCUCUGGAGAGCUCCAGAGGCUCGCCACCGUCUCCUCCUACGAACCUGCAGUUGACGGGGAUCGCGAGCCCGAACCUGAGCCGGAGCCUUGCCUAGGGUUUCUCCAACGGGAGAGUUUCUCCACGGAGAUAAUCGAGAGUAUCUCGCCGGAGGAUCUUCAGCCCACGGUGAAGAUCUGCGUCGACGGACUGCAUUCUCCGUCGGUGGCGGUGAAGCGAUCGGCGGCGGCGAAGCUGAGGCUGUUGGCGAAGAACAGAGCGGACAACCGCGCUCUGAUUGGCGAGUCCGGUGCGGUGCCUGCUCUUGUUCCGUUGCUCCGGUGCAGCGAUCCGUGGACGCAGGAGCACGCGGUCACGGCGUUGCUGAAUCUGUCUCUUCUGGAGGAGAACAAGGCGCUGAUAACGAAUGCCGGUGCGGUGAAGUCGCUGAUUUACGUGCUUAAAACAGGGACGGAAACUUCGAAGCAGAACGCGGCUUGCGCGCUGAUGAGUCUUGCCUUGGUGGAGGAGAACAAGAUCUCGAUCGGUGCUUGCGGGGCAAUACCGCCGCUGGUUUCGCUGCUACUGAAUGGCUCCCACAGAGGGAAGAAGGACGCACUGACGACGCUGUAUAAGCUGUGCUCGGUGCGGCAGAACAAAGAGAGGGCGGUGAGCGCGGGGGCAGUGAAGCCGCUGGUGGAGCUGGUGGCGGAGGAAGGGAGCGGGAUGGCGGACAAGGCGAUGGUGGUGCUAAACAGCUUGGCGGGGAUUGAGGAGGGAAAAGAGGCGAUCGUGGAAGAAGGUGGUAUUGCUGCGCUUGUGGAGGCGAUCGAAGAUGGGUCGGUGAAGGGGAAGGAGUUCGCUGUUCUGACUCUUGUUCAGCUCUGUGCUCACAGCGUUAAUAACAGAGGCUUGCUUGUGAGAGAGGGCGGGAUUCCUCCUCUCGUUGCUCUUUCUCAGAACGGCUCUGUUCGAGCUAAGCACAAGGCUGAGACACUCCUUGGAUAUUUAAGAGAAUCAAGACAUGAAGCAUCCUGUUCAAGUCCCUAGAGAGUAGUUUAUAUAUAGGAAGGCCCGUGAAGCUGCUUCUCCUUGUUGUAAAGUCCUCCAGUUUCAUGCUUUCAUGUGCGGUGUGGUAUGAAGUAGCAUCUGGGUGGCAAAUCAGUGUCCCACCUUCAGCAUGCAGGCCAACCCCACAGACUGCGACUACUCAUACCUGUGUUUUACAGGGACCUGGGUUGUGGGGCUCCCAAAGAAAAUUUGGGUCAGCAAUCUGAGGCAUGUGAAGUGAAGCUACCCACUCUUGUAGAGAUUUCCAAGAUGAAUUAAAUGCCAUUUCAUUAAUUAUUUGAGGAGGCAAGAAGAGAAGCACCUUUUAUUGUGAUGUCCUCCAUAUCAUUAAAGCUACUCUUACAUGGCAACUACUCAUCUUCAACUUUUUCUUUGAUGUCCUUCUUUUUCUUGUUAAACGGGAAGGGUUUGAAGCCUUCUUGAAGCAACUUCUCCACUUCCUCAAACUGAAGGCCUUUGGUUUCAGGCACUAAUGCAUAGAUUGCUAUCAAUGCAAUGACGGAGAACCCAGCAAAAAGUAGGAAUGUGCCGGCUGCACCAAGAGUCUCAGCCAUGCUUAAGAAUGACUCACUCACAAUAAGAUUAGCACACCAGUUGGAAACUGCAGCUAUACCUCCACCUAAACCUCUGUAUCUCAAAGGGUAUAUCUCUGAAUUCAGAACCCAAGGCACUGUUCCCAUUCCUGGAGAGUAUGCUAGAAUAUACAAUCCCAGCACUGCUACAGCUAAGAUUCCAAUUUUGCUUGGACAACCCUUAGAAAACCAUACUCGUUUCUCUGCACGGCACUCUCCUCUUACACUCUUUUCUGCAGACAGGCAUGCACCUGGAUGAUACUGUACAACAAAUACAGACAGACAGACACAGCUUUGGUUAAACAAGGUUGCAUGAUGUUCAGCUUAAUUUAUACACAUUUGGGAAGAAAUUAUUAGCUAUUCUGAUUUGUUAGAUCAUAAUUGUCCUGAAUUAUGUAAUAGUUUCUGAUUUACAAGAACAUGCAAGUUGAGGGUCUUGUUGUGAGGUAAUUAGUUAUGGGAGUGGCCUAACAGUGUUAGCAUGUGAUACGAGGAAGUUGGAAGAACCUACUUCGUUGUCGCUGUUGGCACAGAAGGCACAGUCUUCAUGCAAACAUUGCAUGCAGUUCCAGGAAGGGAAUUUAGGAGCAUUUAUAUAAGGCUGGCAUGUAGAGUUGGUUCCAAAACUGAGGGUGUCUUGGUCACUAACUGCAGGGGCAUGUUUAGCUGCCUGGAAAAAGACAGCACUUGAAACGACGAGGCAAACAAUGAUUCCAACCAGGGAAAUGAGCAUAAGUCUUCUCCUUCCAUAUCUAUCGAUGAAUGCCAUACUCAUGACAGUACCAACAGCAUUGAGACCUGAUGUAAUGAGAGAAAGUGCAAGAGCUGUUGAGUUAGAUGCAAUUCCAGCGAACUGAACAAUGGUUGGACUGUAAUACAUGAGUGUGUUAAUGCCCACAAACUGCUGAGCAACUUGAACAGUGAUGCCAGCAUAUAGACCUCUUCGAACUACAUCAUUGCUAAAAGCAUCCUUCAAUCUUUUUGCCAAAUUCUUUUGGCCAUUCGAGUGUUCCUCCUUCUCAGCUUGAACAGACUCUUGCAUUGAUCUCAUCUCUUCUUCAAUUUCGUCUUGCCGAUAGAUUCUCAACAGGAUGUUCCUUGCCUCCUCUUCCUUCCCCUGAAAUACCAAAUGGAUGCCAAUCACUGAGUUUAUGCUAUUGAACAAUAAACACAUGUAAGCAAUUUCACAAACAAUUAAUGCACAAAAAUUUCAAUCUGGAUUGGAUUGGCAGGAAGAUUUGCAAUACCUGACGGUAGAGCCAUCUGGGUGACUCAGGGAGAGACAACAUCAAUACAAACUGAAGCACAGCAGGAAUUCCUGCCACCCCAAGCAUCCAUCGCCAGGUUCCAGGUACCUGAAACGCAUCAAAUUGACCAUUAAGAAAAAAAAGAAAACAACCCUCUGAUCUGACAACGUUAUCCAAAAGUUUUACACUUCAGUUCAGUUCCUAUAUGUUUACCUUGGUGAAUGCCAAAUUGAUAAGGUAAGACAGAAAUUGUCCUCCUGUGAGAAGCAGACCAUUGACACAGACUAGAGCUCCUCUGAUGUUAUGAGGAGAAGCUUCUGAGAUGUACAGAGGUGCAGUCAUGGAUGCCAUACCAACUCCCAAACCAACUAAGAUUCUCCCAAUAAUGAGGAUCAACGGAAACGGUGCAAAAGCCAUAACUAUUGCACCGAGAAAGAACAAAACAUCAGAUACUAUAAUCGACUUUUUUCUCCCAAAUUUGUCAUUUAUCCAUCCUCCAAAUGCAGCACCAAUGAUGGCUCCUGCGACAGCCAUGCUUACAAUCGUUUCCUGCAACAGCAAUAAAAUAGAACAUUAAGUCAAUCAUCUAGAAAUGGAGGGUGACAGCACAUCCCUUCUUCGCAGAAUUCACCUGUAGCCAUGUUUUCUUGUCAACUUCUUCAAAGUAGUCUCGGAUGUAUAACAGAGCUCCAGAGAUGACACCUACACGUGUGAGGAUUCAGUAAAAUAAUCUUGAAGAUAUGAUGUUAUAGAAGAAAGAGAGGAACUUGUUGAGUGUAUAUGUUGAGACAGAAAAACCUGAAUUCGAGGUCAGGAGCCUCCUAAGAAGUUUAUGAGAAGAGAAUGAAAUAUAUUUUUCUUUUCCUUUUUUCAA